UACGUAGGGGGCAAGCGUUAUCCGGAUUUACUGGGUGUAAAGGGUGCGUAGGUGGUAUGGUAAGUUGGAUGUGAAAUUUGGGGGCUCAACCCCUAAGCUGCAUCCAAAACUACUGAACUAGAGUGCAGGAGAGGAAAGCGGAAUUCCGAGUGUAGCGGUGAAAUGCGUAGAUAUUCGGAGGAACACCAGUAGCGAAGGCGGCUUUCUGGACUGUAACUGACACUGAGGCACGAAAGCGUGGGGAGCGAACAGG
rnacentral:rRNA from 1 species